UACGGAGGGUGCAAGCAUUAAUCGGAAUUAUUGGGCGUCAAGGGCGAGUGGGCGGAUUUGUGAGUCAGAUGUGAAAUUCCGAGGCUCAACUUCGGAGCUGCAUCUGAAACUACAAACCUGGAGGGAUGGCGGAGAAAAUGGAAUUCCACGUGUAGCGGUGAAAUGCGUAGAUAUGUGGAGGAACACCUGUGGCGAAAGCGGUUUUCUAGCUAUUUCCUGACGCUGAGGCGCGAGAGCAAGGGGAGCAAACAGG
rnacentral:rRNA from 1 species